rnacentral:tRNA from 1 species
GAGGGUAUAGCUCAGUGGUAGAGUGCAUGCUUAGCAUGCAUGAGGUCCCCGGUACCUCCA